GUUAAAACACUGGUUUCCAUACAAUCACCAAAGUUAAGCAAUGUUGAGCCUGGUCAGUACCUAGAUGGGUGACUGCUUGAUAAUAUUAAGUGCUGUAAG